UGUUUUAGUGUUAGUGUAGAUCUAGGUCUAGUGUAGUAGUUGUAGUGAUUUAGUUAGUUGCUGGAUUCAGUUGUAGGGUGUUUACAGAAGGCCUGAAUAGAACAGAUUGUAACAAUAUGAUACAUGUUGUGUAAUACUAAAACAGCACCUACCAAAAAAAAGAAACUAGCACACCCAUGAGUCCAACAACUAAACCUGGGCUGUCUGCAGACUCUAGCACAGCCGUGAACCAAAUAACCAUUACCUUACAUUGGACAGACAAAGCUUACAUUGCUACUGGCAUUAUUUGUGGAGUAGUUAUUGAUAUUAUAAUAUGCUUCAUUAUUGUGAAAAAAAUGUCCAAACAAAAAGAAAAUUCUCUUCAACACAACUAAAAAAAGAACCUACUUGCCUACAUAUUUUAGGAAGAAAGAUCAUGAACACUUCCAGAUAAAGUUGUAUAUAAAGUUUUCCAAAUUGUGUAGUGUUUUUUUUUUAAAUUAAACUGUCAAGAAGAAUUCUGAAUAAUUAUAUAACUUUGUGUGUUUUACUUUUAGUUUAAAAUAAACAAACUUGCUAAAUUUUUUGUACUGCACAAAAUUGUUAACUCUUUAAUUGGAAUUUAUUAUUGUAAAUUAAGUUGCACAUAUAUACUGAUGCAUUUAUUUAGGCUUAUUUUCAGUCAAAACCUUAAAAUUAUGCAUCAUUUGUUUUUAUUUUUUGUUAUAUUUUUAAAAUAAAUAUUACAGGAAAUAGAAAAUAGCAUUAGACUGCAUCUAUCAAAAAUUUUAUAUUUAUUUCCUAUUAUUAAGGAUUAAAACUGUAAAAAUAUAUAGUUCUGUAACAUUAGUGUAAUGUUAUUGUUUAUCUUGGCAUUUAUGUUUAACAGAUUGGCCGUCCACAUUUCUUGCUAUUAUUUUUUUUUAAUUAAUGUUUACAAAAGUUUUUUAUUUUUAUUGUAAAUAAUGACUUGGACUGUUUCUGUUUUUAGUUGUAUAUUUUUGAAAAAAUUAUUUUAAAAAAUCUGUAAUUCUUCUUUGUCAUGAGUGGUAUCAAAUAGUUUAUUUUCGGAGCUGUCUUAGUGCUGUUAUAUUAUCAAUUAUGUUGUAAUAACAACACUGAUGUUUAAGUUACAACUCCAUAUUUUUGACAUGACAAGAAAGUGAAAAAAACUAACAUGAGACUUUAAUGCACUCUAAUUAACAUACUUAAGAAAAACAAGUGAACACUUGAACAUACUGAACGGUAGAACAAGGGAGACAACACGAAAACAAACAAGAACACACACAACAUACAUAAACAUAAAUACACAAAUAAAUGUAACAAGUGCAAUUAUUCUCACCUUUCUAGAACGACUUAAUAACUCCAAUUUAUUAAAGUAUAAUUUAUUUAUGAACAAUAAUGAUGAAAUUACUUGAAAUUACUUGACACCAUUGAUAAAGGCACAACACCAAGUGUGAAUGAGAAUGUAUUUGACAUCUGGACCAUGAUAUAGUCCCACAAUCCUAACAGCUUAUUAGAACUAUAUCAGAUAUAUCCAAUAGUAGACACACCCAGUACUUUCCACUUACAAAAUACUAAAAGAGAGACAAAAUACUCCUCUCCGUUUCCCAAACAAAUCACCCACUUCCUAACUAUGAGUUAUAAUCCAUUCAAGCCUCUUCUCACUAAGCGAAAUCAAACGAAAACAAAAGCAACCUUGAAUUGAGCAACCUCAAUCGCCCCCUUCUCCAAUGUUAGCAGGAGACACAGGCUGACCAGAACUUAGUUCUGACAUUUUUCCACCAUCUAGUUUUGAAUUU
rnacentral:sRNA from 1 species